GGGCUACACACGUGCUACAAUGGCGGUGACAGUGGGAAGCUAUAUGGUGACAUAGUGCUGAUCUCUAAAAGCCGUCUCAGUUCGGAUUGUACUCUGCAACUCGAGUACAUGAAGGUGGAAUCGCUAGUAAUCGCGGAUCAGCAUGCCGCGGUGAA
rnacentral:rRNA from 1 species